GACGAACGCUGGCGGUGUGCUUAACACAUGCCAGUCGAACGGUAAGGCCCUUUCGGGGGUACACGAGUGGCGCACGGGUGAGUAACACGUGAGUAACCUGCCCUCAUCUCUGGGAUAACAGUCGGAAACGGUUGCUAAUACUGGAUAUGAGCUUGCAAGGCAUCUUGUGGGUUGGAAAGAUUUUUUUUGGUUGGGGAUGGACUCGCGGCCUAUCAGCUUGUUGGUGAGGUAGUGGCUCACCAAGGCUUCGACGGGUAGCCGGCCUGAGAGGGCGACCGGCCACAUUGGGACUGAGAUACGGCCCAAACUCCUACGGGAGGCAGCAGUGGGGAAUAUUGCACAAUGGACGGAAGUCUGAUGCAGCAACGCCGCGUGCGGGAUGACGGCCUUCGGGUUGUAAACCGCUUUCAAUUGUGACGAAGCUUUUUUGUGACGGUAGCAGUAGAAGAAGCACCGGCUAACUACGUG
rnacentral:rRNA from 1 species